rnacentral:misc_RNA from 1 species
GUAAUUGUUCUUGUCGAAGUAUCGAUGGCUGAUCAAUACGUUCAUACAUCCCAGCCUGAUGUUGAUUACUAAAACUAACAGAAUCAGCAUAUCGUACAGCUGGAUCACUUUGCAUGUCCCUCCCAAUAUAAGCGCUCUGUCGUUCACCAUAUUGACGCCUAUCAAUCACUGGAUAGUCAUGANNNNNNNNNNAUAAUUGAUCACUUUUGUGGCCAUAUCCAUGAGUAGAUGAUGGAACAUAGUCACCAGAUGUAAAUUUUGGAGAAUCAGAGAGACCUGAGGGAUAGCCACC